rnacentral:rRNA from 1 species
GACGAACGCUGGCGGCGUGCUUAACACAUGCAAGUCGAGCGGUAAGGCCCUUUCGGGGGUACACGAGCGGCGAACGGGUGAGUAACACGUGGGUGACCUGCCCUUAGCUCUGGGAUAAGCCUGGGAAACUGGGUCUAAUACCGGAUAUGACUCCAUGACGCAUGUUGUGGGGUGGAAAGCCUUGUGCGGCUAGGGAUGGGCCCGCGGCCUAUCAGCUUGUUGGUGGGGUGAUGGCCUACCAAGGCGACGACGGGUAGCCGGCCUGAGAGGGCGACCGGCCACACUGGGACUGAGACACGGCCCAGACUCCUACGGGAGGCAGCAGUGGGGAACCUUGCGCAAUGGGCGAAAGCCUGACGCAGCGACGCCGCGUGAGGGAUGAC